rnacentral:misc_RNA from 1 species
UCCCCUCAACAAAGGAGGGGAGAGCCUGUGCCCCAGGAGCUCUUGGACAGGGUCCUUACUGCACAUGCUUUCUGGUCCCAGCAACAAGCCAAGCAACAGCACAAACAGCAGCAACAGCCAGAGACUUGCCUUCUCCUCUGAGGAAAAACAUAGACUAGUGGGUUUAGAGAAGGAUUUCUGUGUAUUCUUGUUAUUAUUGUGUAAAAAGUUGAUGACGAAAAAGGGUGAAAAACAGAAGCCUUGAAGAAUUCUUAUGUAAUAUUUUCUGGCUCUCGCUGUGAUUCUUUUCCUUCGUGGAGAGGUAUGGCACUUGUAAAUGGUGAUGGAAUAAGAGCCAUACCUCUCCACGAAGGAAAAGAAUC